GUUUGGUCCCCUUUGGCAUCACAUCAAUUUUGAUUCUUGACCACAAUCCACAAUGUUAUAGGCAAAAUGCAAUGGUCGAUACCCAAAUUUGUAUCCCGUCAUAUAUAUUAUUUAUAUUUGACAAGAUUUUAUAAGAUAAGAUGACAUUUCAACUUAAUAAAAUUAAAUAAACUAUGGUAAAAGAAAUUUGCAACUAACCCGUAGACCUACCAGUUUUAAAAACCAAGUGCUUCUUCAUUUUCU